UUUAUCGGAGAGUUUGAUCCUGGCUCAGGACGAACGCUGGCGGCGUGCCUAAUACAUGCAAGUCGAGCGGACAGAUGGGAGCUUGCUCCCUGAUGUUAGCGGCGGACGGGUGAGUAACACGUGGGUAACCUGCCUGUAAGACUGGGAUAACUCCGGGAAACCGGGGCUAAUACCGGAUGGUUGUUUGAACCGCAUGGUUCAAACAUAAAAGGUGGCUUCGGCUACCACUUACAGAUGGACCCGCGGCGCAUUAGCUAGUUGGU
rnacentral:rRNA from 1 species